rnacentral:rRNA from 1 species
UACAGAGGUCCCAAGCGUUGUUCGGAUUCACUGGGCGUAAAGGGUGCGUAGGCGGUCGGGUAAGUCUGACGUGAAAUCUUCAAGCUCAACUUGGAAACUGCGUCCGAUACUAUUCGGCUAGAGGAAUGGAGGGGAGACUGGAAUACUUGGUGUAGCAGUGAAAUGCGUAGAUAUCAGGAGGAACACCGGUGGCGAAGGCGGGUCUCUGGGCCGAUACUGACGCUGAGGAGCGAAAGCGUGGGGAGCGAACAGG